rnacentral:lncRNA from 1 species
UGAACAGCCAAGAAUAUGCUUUCCACGGGCUUCUACUUCUUGAGGAAAAAAUGUGGAAGACCGAUUUCGGAGAACGGCCCCCAAUACAUAGUUGUAUAUUGUAGUUGUGGUCCUGGUUGUGCUAUGUGGAAUGCCGCCUCAGCAUGGCCUGAUGAGUGGUGCCAUGGCCGCGCCCAGGAACCGAACUGGCGAAACUCUGGGCUGCUGAAGGGGAGCACAGGAACUUAACCACCCGGCCAUGGGGCCGGCCCCAGAAUAUACUUCUUACCCAGCACAGAGUGUGGAAUAGGCAGCUGGAUAUACAAACCCAGAGUUCAAGGAAGAGGUCCCGGCUGAAUAUAAAUAUAUUCACUAGCAUAUGGAUGGUAUUUUUAAUGCUGGUCAACUCAAUAUGAUCAAGGAGAGAAUAUAAAGGAGAAGAAAAGAGGCCAGAGUCCCGGGCUCUCUACUGUUAAAG